AAAACGACUCUCGGCAACGGAUAUCUAGGCUCUCGCAUCGAUGAAGAACGUAGUGAAAUGCGAUACUUGGUGUGAAUUGCAGAAUCCCGUGAACCAUCGAGUUUUUGAACGCAAGUUGCGCCCGAAGCCAUUAGGCUGAGGGCACGUCUGCCUGGGCGUCACGCA
rnacentral:rRNA from 1 species